AUGUGCAGCUUUAUUGCAACAAAUGCAGUAGAAGAAGACAAUGUCCAGGAGUGCAUUGCAAGAUCCAACCUGAGAUGCGGGUGGGCAGGCUACUUAAAGAAACUGAUCACUUGGGGUCUUGUUCAGGGACCCAGCCUGGGGUCCCAACCUUGCCUCCAUCUUCUGAACUUGAUGCUCCCACUAAAUGCUGUCACCAGGAGUGUGUCUUGUGCUCCCAUUGAACUGACUGCCGCCUCCAUGGCCUGUGCUAAACUUCUGUUCCUAGGACCCCUGCUACCAUCCUGUCACUGUGUGCCCAUCUGCUGUCCCGCAACAGGUCCCCCAGUGUCAGAUCCUUCCCUGCAGCACAAUUUAGACUCCAGAUUGCCAUUUACUAGGCUGGGGACCACACACCCACCUGCCAGCUUCUUCACUCACCCCCUGCCACUGCGUCUGCAUUGAUUCUCCAGGCUGGAGCCAGAGUUUGAGAGACCAGCGCCAGCAUCUGCUCUCUUUUAGCCAUUGCACAUCUCUAAGAAACCUGCAUCUUUUCUGGGCAAUACUGGAUUUCCCCUGGGGCCCAGGCUACACAGGUUCCCACUGCCACACUACCCUAAAGCGUUCUCUGAGGGCUGCGUCAUCACUUGCAUUUUCAUACCCAUUUCUCCACCUGCCUGGACACGGUGGGGUUGGAAGGGCAGCUAACCUCCCAGACAUGAGACUUCGUAUCCAACAGUGAAGAUUCUCAGCACAGCUUUUACAAAUCGAACUAAUUAUGUGCAAUUCAUUUAUUUAUAAAAGCCACUGCUAGCCAAGAAGCUCAGUCCACCAGAGUAGGAGAUUGUUAUGGUUCCAGUCAAAUUCCAUCUCUGCCCAAGGCAUUGGGUGUGCUGUCCCCUCACCCAUGACCCAGCCCAAGCAUGGACACUGCCCUCAGCCAUACCCCAGCACCAGACCUUGACUCGGGGCGCAAGGACCACGCAGGGAUCUUAGAGAGGGCUCUGAAAGAUGAGUGGAAAAUGGAAGCUAAUUUUAGAGGAAAUUUCUAGUCAGGGCAAGAAUCAGAUUUUCAGAGUCAACAAAAACUUGGAAACCUUUAGUUAAUCCCAUCCCUUCAUUUGUUUUUUAAAAAAAAUUUUAUUAGUACACAUUUGCAGUACGUAAUGAUUACAUUCAUGGCGAGAAAUUGGUACGUGUACAUAAUGCAUCUCCUUUCUACUUCCCUCCCCCCCUUGCUUAUUCUUUUACUGUUAUAAAAUGUAAAUAAUUAAAAUUGACCAUUUUAAUGUUUUUUGAAUUUUUUGAGACAAGAUUUCACUAUGUAGUUCAGCUUGGCCUUGCACUCACUGUGUAGCCUAAGCUGCCCUUGAACUCACAGCGGUCCUCCUGGCUCAGCCUCCCAAGUGCUGGGAUUAUAGGCAUGCAACACCAACUGUUUGAACCAUUUUUAAGAGUAUGAUUCAGUGACAUUAUGCCCAUUCUCUUUAAAAAGAAAAAAGUGAGGCUCAGGAGUUGUAGCUUUCUGUUAGAAAACUAAAAGUUGUCCUGAGGCAGUUUCUGGUUUUCCCUGGCCCUUGUCCCCCACCACACACCAUUCUGCAGCAGCUUGAGCACCCCACUUCUGGUUGGAUUUCAUCUAAAAUGCAGACUCUGGUAACUGAGAAGACCUAUCUAACCUAGUGCCAGUUUUUCUGCAUGAAUGUUUACUCAGUUCUCCAGCUCAACAGAGAGGCUAUCAUUUCUGCAGUCUUGGCUUUCCAAGGCUAAAAGAUGAUUUAACAAGUCAUAUGAAGUCCG
ensembl:lincRNA